rnacentral:rRNA from 1 species
UACGUAGGGGGCAAGCGUUGUCCGGAAUCAUUGGGCGUAAAGCGCGUGUAGGCGGUCCGGUAAGUCCGCUGUGAAAGUCGGGGGCUCAACCCUCGGAUGCCGGUGGAUACUGUCGGGCUUGAGUACGGAAGGGGCGAGUGGAAUUCCUGGUGUAGCGGUGAAAUGCGCAGAUAUCAGGAGGAACACCAACGGCGAAGGCAGCUCGCUGGGACGGUACUGACACUGAGGCGCGAAAGCGUGGGGGAGCGAACAGG